rnacentral:rRNA from 1 species
CGCAUAAUAUAUAUUUAUCGCAUGGUAGAUAUAUCAAAGAUUUAUCGCUUAGAGAUGGACUCGCGUCCGAUUAGUUAGUUGGUGAGGUAACGGCUCACCAAGACCGCGAUCGGUAGCCGGACUGAGAGGUUGAACGGCCACAUUGGGACUGAGACACGGCCCAGACUCCUACGGGAGGCAGCAGUGGGGGAUAUUGCGCAAUGGGGGAAACCCUGACGCAGCAACGCCGCGUGAAGGAUGAAGGUCUUCGGAUUGUAAACUUCUUUUAUUAAGGACGAAUAAAGUGACGGUACUUAAUGAAUAAGCUCCGGCUAACUACGUGCCAGCAGCCGCGGUAAUACGUAGGGAGCAAGCGUUGUCCGGAUUUACUGGGUGUAAAGGGUGCGUAGGCGGCUUUGCAAGUCAGAUGUGAAAUCUAUGGGCUCAACCCAUAGCCUGCAUUUGAAACUGCAGAGCUUGAGUGAAGUAGAGGCAGGCGGAAUUCCCCGUGUAGCGGUGAAAUGCGUAGAGAUGGGGAGGAACACCAGUGGCGAAGGCGGCCUGCUGGGCUUUAACUGACGCUGAGGCACGAAAGCGUGGGUAGCAAACAGGAUUAGAUACCCUGGUAGUCCACGCUGU